rnacentral:rRNA from 1 species
GAUGAACGCUAGCUACAGGCUUAACACAUGCAAGUCGAGGGGCAGCAUGGUCUUAGCUUGCUAAGGCCGAUGGCGACCGGCGCACGGGUGAGUAACACGUAUCCAACCUGCCGUCUACUCUUGGACAGCCUUCUGAAAGGAAGAUUAAUACAAGAUGGCAUCAUGAGUCCGCAUGUUCACAUGAUUAAAGGUAUUCCGGUAGACGAUGGGGAUGCGUUCCAUUAGAUAGUAGGCGGGGUAACGGCCCACCUAGUCUUCGAUGGAUAGGGGUUCUGAGAGGAAGGUCCCCCACAUUGGAACUGAGACACGGUCCAAACUCCUACGGGAGGCAGCAGUGAGGAAUAUUGGUCAAUGGGCGAGAGCCUGAACCAGCCAAGUAGCGUGAAGGAUGACUGCCCUAUGGGUUGUAAACUUCUUUUAUAAAGGAAUAAAGUCGGGUAUGCAUACCCGUUUGCAUGUACUUUAUGAAUAAGGAUCGGCUAACUCCGUGCCAGCAGCCGCGGUAAUACGGAGGAUCCGAGCGUUAUCCGGAUUUAUUGGGUUUAAAGGGAGCGUAGAUGGAUGUUUAAGUCAGUUGUGAAAGUUUGCGGCUCAACCGUAAAAUUGCAGUUGAUACUGGAUAUCUUGAGUGCAGUUGAGGCAGGCGGAAUUCGUGGUGUAGCGGUGAAAUGCUUAGAUAUCACGAAGAACUCCGAUUGCGAAGGCAGCCUGCUAAGCUGCAACUGACAUUGAGGCUCGAAAGUGUGGGUAUCAAACAGGAUUAGAUACCCUGGUAGUCCACACGGUAAACGAUGAAUACUCGCUGUUUGCGAUAUACUGCAAGCGGCCAAGCGAAAGCGUUAAGUAUUCCACCUGGGGAGUACGCCGGCAACGGUGAAACUCAAAGGAAUUGACGGGGGCCCGCACAAGCGGAGGAACAUGUGGUUUAAUUCGAUGAUACGCGAGGAACCUUACCCGGGCUUAAAUUGCAGAUGAAUUACGGUGAAAGCCGUAAGCCGCAAGGCAUCUGUGAAGGUGCUGCAUGGUUGUCGUCAGCUCGUGCCGUGAGGUGUCGGCUUAAGUGCCAUAACGAGCGCAACCCUUGUUGUCAGUUACUAACAGGUUCCGCUGAGGACUCUGACAAGACUGCCAUCGUAAGAUGUGAGGAAGGUGGGGAUGACGUCAAAUCAGCACGGCCCUUACGUCCGGGGCUACACACGUGUUACAAUGGGGGGUACAGAGGGCCGCUACCACGCGAGUGGAUGCCAAUCCCCAAAACCUCUCUCAGUUCGGACUGGAGUCUGCAACCCGACUCCACGAAGCUGGAUUCGCUAGUAAUCGCGCAUCAGCCACGGCGCGGUGAAUACGUUCCCGGGCCUUGUACACACCGCCCGUCAAGCCAUGGGAGCCGGGGGUACCUGAAGUGCGUAACCGCGAGGAGCGCCCUAGGGUAAAACUGGUGACUGGGGCU